rnacentral:lncRNA from 1 species
UCCUGUACGUAGACCCACACCUAUAUGAGAAAAUUAAGACCAAAUAAAUUUUAAGACCUAGAACAUAAUGUGAGACAAUAACACUUCCUGUUGGACACAUGCAAGACAUGAUUGUGACUAUUUUUCAAAAAUUAACCGGUGUGGCUAAAAGUGGCUAAAAAUGCAAGAUUUGGCUAAGACCCCGCGAAGCCAAGAACCUAAACUCACUAGGAAGACCGGACCCAAUGUGUGUUGCCUACGUAUCACGCCCCGAAAGACGAGAAUCAGGUAUGCGUAGUUCGGGCAGAUUGGAUACGGGUGAGAAUUAAAAAAAUAACUAAUUUAGAGAAAAUAUGUUUUUUGUCUUCUUUUUUUUUUGAAAAAAUGCUGAAACAUGUAAACUUUUUUUCCGAUUUUCUUUUCCUUUUUUUUUGAUUUUCGAAAAAUGAUGAAAAAGCAAUUUUUUUUGAAUUUUCAUGUUUUUUUCCUUUUUCUUAACAAAAAUGUGAAAUAAAACAUAACUGGGCCCUACUUGCUUUUUUCUCACACUUCACCCUUUUUUUUUCCUUCUUUUUUUGUUCAUUUGCCCUCAACUAUCAUUUGUCCACCAAAUGACCCUUUUACCCUUGGAGAUAUGCAACAUGUAGCACAUAAGAUACAUCAAGAUGGUCUGUUAUUUUGGGUACAUCUGUCCUAGACGAACCCGACCCCUGUGUUGAGUCCCCUAAGUCAAAUGCACAUGAUACUAACAAACGUUCCUACUAGGGAUUCGGCAUGAGGCUGUGUUUUUCUAGGUUUUAAAACCUGGGGUUGUGUUCUAGACCUGGCUUACCCGAACGGACAACUGGGGGCCGAAGAGGGGGAACGUAUCGGAAGCACUAAAGUCUACCCGACCUUGUUGCUGGCCCAGCCUUGUUCUAUUUGGUAUAAUUUUUACAGAAAAAGCGGGCCACACGAACGUGUGCACCAUUUUCAGAAGACUCGGAGGAUGGCGUAAGAAGACAGUUAUAUAGAGUUCAAACAAUAUUAAAGCGGUAAACAUAUAGAAUUUAGCACCAAAGGUUCAUAGAAUACAGUAAUAUUAACAAUAGAUAAAGCCAAAUAAAAAUCAUAAAAACAAACUAGAAUUCUUGAACCCUGAACCAGAGAUUCCGAGUUCUUGUUCCUCAGUAGAGUCGCCAGAGUUGUCACACCUCCUUUUUACUAUCCCAUGAAGGGAUAUAAGGGAGUUUUUUUCCAAUUUAAGUGACAAUCGAAACAGGAUUAUUUAUUUGAAAUUCAGAGUCGCUACUUGGGAUAAUUUAUGGUGGCCCAAGUCACCGGUUUACGUGUACCCGUUUGUUUAACAUGUCAAAAAUUACGUCACGCGAACGUGUCCGCAAUUAAUAACGCUUUAUUAUUAUUAAGAAAGUUUGGCAGAAGUUGCGCGAACGCAUACUCCGGUUUUGUUUUUAGAAAUCGUAAUCAUGUUACGCGAACGUAUCCACGACCACGAUAGAAUAUUAAACAUGCCUAAAGUAACCUACGACCAUUUUUAUAUCUAGGUUAUUAGCAUGAGGGCCAUGUAUGAUUAAAUUAUGGAUGGCUCAACACUAGUUGGAGCUUCUUUGCAUCAAGUCUUCAUAAUUAGAUAUGCUUCAUCUAUUCUACCCACUUUACCAAAUCCGUCUACUAGACUACCAUAUAUAGCCACAUUUAAUGGAAUACCUUUAGAUUUUGCUUCUUCAAAAAGCAUGUAAACUUCGUCAAGUCUGUCAGUCUUGGCAAGCCCAUCAAUGACAGAACCAUAUGUUACUACGGUCGGGGUCAAGACCUUUUACUUUCAUCUCUUCAAGUGGCUGAUAAGCUUUAUUCACUUUACCUGAUUUGCAAAAUCCAUCUAUGACAGUAUUAUAAGCAAAAGUAUCCAGCACGUACCCCUGUUCCUUCAUUGCAUAGAAAAGCUCAUAUGUGCACACAUGCAUUAAAGUGGGGCAAAAAAUAUUCAAUCUAUAGACAGGAAAAGCAAAACAUUCACAAUUGGGUAAUAACGGUGGUUCAGUUAUUAACUUAGUAACAAGACCAAAUCAAAAAAUGGGAGAAAACAAAAAUGCUAAUUUGAUAUCCACAUUUAUUCAUCUCCAAGCUCGAUAUUAACAUAGACAACACAAAUAUUACAAAGUAACAAACACAAACAAAUUACACAAGAAACGAUAAAUAACAUUAACAUGUGAAUUUCCAAAAUGGCAGAAUCUCAGGCCCAAACCAGUACACGAUGAACUGUAAAACGAAGGUCCAAAUUUAACCAAAAAACAGACCUUAGUUAAGCUUGACUUGCCGAAAUUGCGAACCGGCACCUCGAAUCGACAUCGGAACUAGAAAACUUGAACAGAAAAACGAAAUGCUUCGCCGGAAUCCCAGCGAAACUCGACCAAACCUCUUCGAAUCGAUUUCUUUGACUUUGGACUGGAAUGCUCGACUUCAAAACAAAAUCGAGCACCUCGCCUCCAUGAGUACCGAUAUGAGAAUGAAUUGAAGCUUUGCGUAACAAGUAGUUCUGAAGCUUAGAGAAUCGAAUGGUAACUGAAUGGUUAUGGGGUUAAUUAUCGGUAGAUUUCAUGGCUAUUUUUGCUGGAGAUUUUAGCUAUGUUUGGGGCUGUUUUUUUAGCUUGUUCUUCGAGUUGUUUGAGAAUGAUUUCGAGUUGAAGUUUCGCUCGUGUUUCUGCCAGAUUUCGGACUAUUUUUUGAGGCUGCUUCGAGGUGGUUUAAAGGCUGGUUUAUGGGGAGUUUUUAGCUCAUUUUGGAGCUUUAUUCGGCUACUUCAAUGGAGUUUAGGGGGGUGUUGAAUGGAGGUUCAUGGCUGGAACUGGAGGAGGUCAUCUGGUGUGGUUGGUGUCGAAGAAGACGAAGCUUCAGGGGGGUCAUCUCUUUUGUGUAUUGCGGCUGUCAGCUUUUAGUCUAGGUAUCUCUUAUUUUUUGUGUAUUUCCGCUCCUUUUUUAUCAGAUUUUUAGGCAUUAGUCUAGGUUUUGGGGUAAUGGGG